rnacentral:rRNA from 1 species
UACGUAGGGUGCAAGCGUUAAUCGGAAUUACUGGGCGUAAAGCGUGCGCAGGCGGUUUUAUAAGACAGAUGUGAAAUCCCCGGGCUCAACCUGGGAACUGCAUUUGUGACUGUAGAGCUGGAGUACGGUAGAGGGGGAUGGAAUUCCGCGUGUAGCAGUGAAAUGCGUAGAUAUGCGGAGGAACACCGAUGGCGAAGGCAGUCCCCUGGACCUGUACUGACGCUCAUGCACGAAAGCCAGGGUAGCGAACGGG